rnacentral:rRNA from 1 species
UAGGGAAUCUUCCGCAAUGGACGAAAGUCUGACGGAGCAACGCCGCGUGAGUGAUGAAGGCUUUCGGGUCGUAAAACUCUGUUGUUAGGGAAGAACAAGUACGAGAGUAACUGCUCGUACCUUGACGGUACCUAACCAGAAAGCCACGGCUAACUACGUGCCAGCAGCCGCGGUAAUACGUAGGUGGCAAGCGUUAUCCGGAAUUAUUGGGCGUAAAGCGCGCGCAGGCGGUUUCUUAAGUCUGAUGUGAAAGCCCACGG